AUGCAGAAUUCAUGACUUGGAAACUGAAAGUCUCUCUGAGGUUGGAAUUGAUCCACAGUUACUACAGUAAUUCUGCAACCAGGUAUAAAGAUUCAGGACUAUUCCAAAGACUACGAAUUUCUGGGCGGCCUUUUCAGCAUGGUUCUCCAAUACAUCCGGAGAUCUCUGGAGAAGAAAACAGACCUUGGGUCGAGCUUCACCUGCCCUUGUGGCCUUGCAGGAGCUAGCAAAUUUCACAUAGCAGCUUUCUGAGGCCUCAACUAUCAACACAUCUCCGCCAUAUCCAGCACUGAACAUAUUUGUAAUUGGACACUGUUCUUGUUCUGCAGUCU